rnacentral:rRNA from 1 species
GAUAAACGCUGGCGGCGUGCAUGAGACAUGCAAGUCGAACGAAGGAUCGGGCUUGCUCGAUCCUUAGUGGCGGACGGCUGAGUAACGCGUAGGUGACCUACCCCGAAGUGGGGAAUAACUGCCCGAAAGGGUGGUUAAUACCGCAUGUGGUCGCACGUUCAUUCGUGCGAGUAAAGCCGCAAGGCGCUUCGGGAGGGGCCUGCGUCCGAUUAGCUCGUUGGUGGGGUAAUGGCUUACCAAGGCGACGAUCGGUAGGUGGUCUGAGAGGACGAUCACCCAGACUGGGACUGAGACACGGCCCAGACUCCUACGGGAGGCAGCAGUCGGGAAUUUUGCUCAAUGGGGGAAACCCUGAAGCAGCAACGCCGCGUGAGGGAUGAAGGCCUUCGGGUUGUAAACCUCUUUUGUCAGGGACGAUGAUGACGGUACCUGGCGAAUAAGCCACGGCUAACUACGUG